UACGUAGGGGGCAAGCGUUGUCCGGAAUUAUUGGGCGUAAAGCGCGCGCAGGCGGUCUUUUAAGUCUGAUGUGAAAGCCCACGGCUCAACCGUGGAGGGUCAUUGGAAACUGGGAGACUUGAGUACAGAAGAGGAAAGUGGAAUUCCACGUGUAGCGGUGAAAUGCGUAGAUAUGUGGAGGAACACCAGUGGCGAAGGCGACUUUCUGGUCUGUAACUGACGCUGAGGCGCGAAAGCGUGGGGAGCAAACAGG
rnacentral:rRNA from 1 species